rnacentral:rRNA from 2 species
AAAUUGAAGAGUUUGAUCAUGGCUCAGAUUGAACGCUGGCGGCAGGCCUAACACAUGCAAGUCGAACGGUAACAGGAAGCAGCUUGCUGCUUCGCUGACGAGUGGCGGACGGGUGAGUAAUGUCUGGGAAACUGCCUGAUGGAGGGGGAUAACUACUGGAAACGGUAGCUAAUACCGCAUAAUGUCGCAAGACCAAAGAGGGGGACCUUCGGGCCUCUUGCCAUCGGAUGUGCCCAGAUGGGAUUAGCUUGUUGGUGGGGUAACGGCUCACCAAGGCGACGAUCCCUAGCUGGUCUGAGAGGAUGACCAGCCACACUGGAACUGAGACACGGUCCAGACUCCUACGGGAGGCAGCAGUGGGGAAUAUUGCACAAUGGGCGCAAGCCUGAUGCAGCCAUGCCGCGUGUAUGAAGAAGGCCUUCGGGUUGUAAAGUACUUUCAGCGGGGAGGAAGGGA